rnacentral:rRNA from 1 species
AUGCUUAUACAUCUAUGUUCCUUUUCAUGCUAUGCUCUUCGGCAGCUUGUUAUCUUGCACUUAUUACUGGUAUUAUGGUUAUAUCUCAUGCUUGAUAGUAGUAGCAGUGUGUUGUUUUCUGAUGCAUGUUUACGAUCUGUUAUAUGGUGCUGUAGCUACGCAUGUUACUUUGCUUCCAGUUGGUUAUAUGCUUACUUGGUCGUAUUCUGGAUAAGUUCUUGCAUGUUAUUUAUGAUGCUAGUGGUCAUGAUAUUCUCAUGUGUAAUGUUAUGCUCGUCAGUUUACCAUGCUGAUUUGGUUAAUGUUUCAUUAUGGUUAUGCUCGAUGAUUAUGUUGCACUUCCAUGCUUAUGUUGAUUCAUGUUCAUGCAUUGUAGUUGCAUCAUGUUAUAUUUAA